GCUUUAACAUGGGGGUACCUGCUGUGUGAAACAAAAGUAAGUGCUUCCAUGUUUCAGUGG
rnacentral:pre_miRNA from 3 species